CUCAUAUACUCUACAGUUCACGGGUAGAUUACUUAGCAGGCCUGGCGAAGACAACACGCAUGAUGUAUAAUCAAUGAUCUCUUCUGAGGUGAACCUGCGGAAGGAUCAUUA
rnacentral:rRNA from 1 species